CGGAGUGAUGCUGCCCACUCCACAGGAACACUACUGAUACGAGAACUUAAAACAAAUGGUGGACAACAUGAUGCGGUCCAGUGCAUAUCAAGUCUACAUGUGCAAAAGCUUAGAGAAAAUCAAAUCAAGCUUUAUGGGUCCUCGUCCUUCCUAGAAUCUAUUGUAGAUGACACAAGAGGUGAUUUUACUCACUACACAAUAGACUGCAAUGGCAUAAAGCUCAGUGCACAACAACAUUGCUAAGACAGGAGUUUCAAGCUGCACGUGAUAGCAUGCAAGAGGUUAUGGUGAGAAAUUCAGUUGAAGCUACCACAUCCUUGACAAGUACAAAACAAGGGAGACACAUGAGAACUGGAUUAUUCAAUGUGUCAACUGUGACACCAUUUCCCCGGCAAUUUUGAUCUUGCCACGUCAAGGUCUUCUCCGAGUGAGUGAAUUCACAUUGAUAGAGAUUGGGCAUUUCGUGGACCUAGAGGACAAAUCACAUCCAAAAUUUGUUGAUGUGGCUCCUAUCAAGUGCACUGUGUUCCCCUCGUCAAGAAUCAAGAGUUUGAUGCUGCCGCCAAAGAGAUCACCAAGGCAUUAACAACUGUUGGUAUCUCUCAUAUUAUUGACACUACUGCAAUUUCUAUUGGGAGGAGAUAUGGGAGGACCGAUGAGAUUGGUGUUCCAUUUGUUGUGGCAAUGGAUUCAACAAACGUGACGAUCCGAGAGAGGGAUGACAAGGAGCAGAUCCGUGUGGACAUCAACGAGGUGGCGUCCGUGGUGAAGUAGCUGA